UUGCAAUGAUGUAUGAAUUUCUUCACCCGAAUCAACAAUGAAGAACAAAACGAGCUUUUUAACACUGAGCAAU
rnacentral:snoRNA from 1 species